GGCCCGCUGGUGAAAUGUAGACGCACUCGCCUCAGAAGCGAGCGACCGAGAGGUCAUCCCGGUUCAAAUCCGGGGCGGGCCACCA
rnacentral:tRNA from 1 species